rnacentral:rRNA from 1 species
GACGAACGCUGGCGGCGUGCUUAACACAUGCAAGUCGAACGGAAAGGCCCUGCUUUUGUGGGGUGCUCGAGUGGCGAACGGGUGAGUAACACGUGCGUAACCUGCCCUUGACUUUGGGAUAACUUCAGGAAACUGGGGCUAAUACCGGAUAGGAGCUCCUGCUGCAUGGUGGGGGUUGGAAAGUUUCGGCGGUUGGGGAUGGACGCGCGGCUUAUCAGCUUGUUGGUGGGGUAGUGGCUUACCAAGGCCUUGACGGGUAGCCGGCCUGCGAGGGUGACCGGCCACAUGGGGACUGAGAGACGGCCCAGAGUCCUACGGGAGGCAGCAGUGGGGAGUAUUGCACAAUGGGCGGGAGCCUGAUGCAGCAACGCCGCGUGCGGGAUGACGGCCUGCGGGUUGUAAACCGCUUUCGCCUGUGACGAAGCGUGAGUGACGGUAAUGGGUAAAGAAGCACCGGCUAACUACGUG